rnacentral:rRNA from 1 species
GACGAACGCUGGCGGCGUGCUUAACACAUGCAAGUCGAGCGGUAAGGCCCUUUCGGGGGUACACGAGCGGCGAACGGGUGGGUAACACGUGGGUGACCUGCCCUCAGCUCUGGGAUAAGCCUGGGAAACCGGGUCUAAUACUGGAUAUGACUCCAUGACGCAUGUUGUGGGGUGGAAAGCCUUGUGCGGCUGAGGAUGGGCCCGCGGCCUAUCAGCUUGUUGGUGGGGUGANGGCCUACCAAGGCGACGACGGGUAGCCGGCCUGAGAGGGCGACCGGCCACACUGGGACUGAGACACGGCCCAGACUCCUACGGGAGGCAGCAGUGGGGAAUCUUGCGCAAUGGGCGAAAGCCUGACGCAGCGACGCCGCGUGAGGGAUGAC